rnacentral:rRNA from 1 species
GACAGAGGGUGCUAGCGUUGUUCGGAAUUACUGGGCGUAAAGGGCGCGUAGGCGGCUCGUUUAGUCGGGUGUGAAAUCCCGGGGCUCAACCCCGGAACUGCAUUCGAUACUGGCGGGCUAGAGACCGGAAGAGGUGGGUGGAAUACCCAGUGUAGAGGUGAAAUUCGUAGAUAUUGGGUGGAACACCGGUGGCGAAGGCGGCUCACUGGUCCGGUUCUGACGCUGAGGCGCGAAGGCGUGGGGAGCGAACGGG